rnacentral:rRNA from 1 species
GGGCUCGCAGGCGGUUUCUUAAGUCUGAUGUGAAAGCCCCCGGCUCAACCGGGGAGGGUCAUUGGAAACUGGGAAACUUGAGUGCAGAAGAGGAGAGUGGAAUUCCACGUGUAGCGGUGAAAUGCGUAGAGAUGUGGAGGAACACCAGUGGCGAAGGCGACUCUCUGGUCUGUAACUGACGCUGAGGAGCGAAAGCGUGGGGAGCGAACAGGAUUAGAUACCCUGGUAGUCCACGCCGUAAACGAUGAGUGCUAAGUGUUAGGGGGUUUCCGCCCCUUAGUGCUGCAGCUAACGCAUUAAGCACUCCGCCUGGGGAGUACGGUCGCAAGACUGAAACUCAAAGGAAUUGACGGGGGCCCGCACAAGCGGUGGAGCAUGUGGUUUAAUUCGAAGCAACGCGAAGAACCUUACCAGGUCUUGACAUCCUCUGACAACCCUAGAGAUAGGGCUUUCCCUUCGGGGACAGAGUGACAGGUGGUGCAUGGUUGUCGUCAGCUCGUGUCGUGAGAUGUUGGGUUAAGUCCCGCAACGAGCGCAACCCUUGAUCUUAGUUGCC